UCCUACGGGGGGCAGCAGUGAGGAAUAUUGGUCAAUGGGAGAGAUCCUGAACCAGCCAAGCCGCGUGAGGGAAGACGGCCCUAUGGGUUGUAAACCUCUUUUGUCGGAGAACAAAACCCGGGACGUGUCCCGGACUGCGUGUAUCCGAAGAAAAAGCAUCGGCUAACUCCGUGCCAGCAGCCGCGGUAAUACGGAGGGGGCAAGCGUUAUCCGGAUUCAUUGGGCGUAAAGCGCGCGCAGGCGGGCCGCUAAGCGGGACCUCUAAUCUUGGGGCUCAACC
rnacentral:rRNA from 1 species